CUGAGAAUGACUACUACAGAUGGUAUCAAACUGUAAGAAAUGGACAGCGCUCUCUCAAAACAUUGGUCUCCUUUUACAUCUAUGCCAGAAACUUGUGAGGUUCUUGCUGUGAGGAAAUAACAGAGAUAAGGAAGAUGACAGACUGAUGAGAACGUUGAGAUUUCGGAAGUUAAAUGACUUUUCCAAGGUCACGGCUAUAAAGAAGAUGAGAAGGCCAAGAGCAGGCAGCAUCUAACUGUCACAAGUAAUCCCUUCCACAGUGACUGGCAUAGUGUCCCAGAACAGUGUUGAAUGUUCUACGUGGCACCAUAAAACCUACUGCCUACUGCCCUCCUGCAGAUCUGGAACAGUGAAGAGUUUAACUGUCAUGCUUGCCAGGAACACCAUGGCCUCGGCACAUCAGAGACUUGUUACCGAGCUUUCUCUGCCUGUUAAAGAACCAAGAGGCAGAAAAAGGUCCAGCAGGAGGCAGUAAAGAAACCUUGAACACAAGGCAAACAGAGAAGGAAUCAGCAAUUGAAGAAAGACUUUCACUGGGGCAGGAAAAACACACACUGCAAACACACAGCAGAAAAAGUGCCCUCCCCAAAGCAGAAAGGGACUGUCCAAAUGUCCCAUCUCCUUUCAUGGGCUGGGGAGAGCCUUCCUCCCUUUAUUUACAAUUGGUUAGUUUGAAGAAAGGCAGAAUGGCUGGUUGGCUUUUAACUGCUCCGUAAACAAGCCCUGACAAAGCCUAGAACUUGGUGAUCCAGUCCAUCAGCAGGGGCCUGCUGGCAGGAGAGAAUGCCCACAAAACCUUUGUUUCAAGCACCCAGCCUUUUGUCUCAGAUCAGGAGGGUGAGGAAGAAGCCUCCAUCUUGGAAUUUACCAUCGCUAUUAUGUAGGCAUGACUCUUCUCCCUAUUUU